rnacentral:rRNA from 1 species
UGGGGAAUAUUGGACAAUGGGCGAAAGCCUGAUCCAGCAAUGCCGCGUGAGUGAUGAAGGCCUUAGGGUUGUAAAGCUCUUUUUACCAGGGAUGAUAAUGACAGUACCUGGAGAAUAAGCUCCGGCUAACUCCGUGCCAGCAGCCGCGGUAAUACGGAGGGAGCUAGCGUUGUUCGGAAUUACUGGGCGUAAAGCGUACGUAGGCGGUGACUCAAGUCAGAGGUGAAAGCCUGGAGCUCAACUCCAGAACUGCCUUUGAAACUAGGUCGCUAGAAUCACGGAGAGGUGAGUGGAAUUCCGAGUGUAGAGGUGAAAUUCGUAGAUAUUCGGAAGAACACCAGUGGCAAGGCGGCUCACUGGACGUGUAUUGACGCUGAGGUACGAAAGCGUGGGGAGCAAACAGGAUUAGAUACCCGCGUAGUCCCUGAGCGGGCUGGCAAGGCGCAU